AGUUCAGAUUGCAGGCUGCAACCCGCCUGCAUGAAGUCGGAAUUGCUAGUAAUCGCGGAUCAGCAUGCCGCGGUGAAUACGUUCCCGGGCCUUGUACACACCGCCCGUCGCACCAUGGGAGCCGGUAAUACCCGAAGUCAGUAGUCCAACCUCGUGAGGACGCUGCCGAAGGUAGGAUUGGCGACUGGGGUGAAGUCGUAACAAGGUAAC
rnacentral:rRNA from 1 species